UUGGCCUGAAUUCACUAUUAAGUUAAUCAUAGACCUUGAGGCUUUUGGUUGGUUUCCUUGCCUUGCCUCUCAAUGUUCUUUAUGCUGGUUUGAACUCAACUUUAUUGACCGAGAAGCUGGAUGUUUUUUUUGGUUGUAAAAUUAAAAGUAGGAUGUUUUUGCUGUAUCAAGUAACUACAACCCUUGUAUUCAGAAGUGUUGUCUACCUAUAUAUAUAUGAAAAAUGUAUGUACACGUGUAUUACACAGCUGGUAUCAUGA
rnacentral:lncRNA from 1 species